GAAACCUCAUCUUCGGUUGCGCCAUCCGGGGCAUAGACCAGUGUUUUUUAACACGAGCGAGCGUCCGCUCGGAUGAGGAGAGAGA
rnacentral:ncRNA from 1 species